rnacentral:rRNA from 1 species
AUUGAACGCUGGCGGAAUGCUUUACACAUGCAAGUCGAACGGCAGCACGGGGCAACCUGGUGGCGAGUGGCGAACGGGUGAGUAAUACAUCGGAACGUGCCCAGUCGUGGGGGAUAACGUAGCGAAAGCUACGCUAAUACCGCAUACGAUCUACAGAUGAAAGCGGGGGACUCGCAAGAGCCUCGCGCGAUUGGAGCGGCCGAUGGCAGAUUAGGUAGUUGGUGGGGUAAAGGCUCACCAAGCCUGCGAUCUGUAGCUGGUCUGAGAGGACGACCAGCCACACUGGAACUGAGACACGGUCCAGACUCCUACGGGAGGCAGCAGUGGGGAAUUUUGGACAAUGGGCGCAAGCCUGAUCCAGCCAUUCCGCGUGCAGGAUGAAGGCC